ensembl:snRNA U6 U6 spliceosomal RNA
GUGCUUGCUUCAGCAGCACAUAUACUAAAAUUGGAAAGAUACAGAGAACAUUAGCAUGGCCCGUGUGCAAGGAUGACAUGCAAAUUUGUGAAGGGUUCCAUAUUUUU